rnacentral:rRNA from 1 species
UGCCAGCCGCCGCGGUAAGACGAAGGUGGCAACCGUUGUUCGGAAUCACUGGGCAUAAAGCGCGCGUAGGCGGCGACACAAGUCGGAUGUGAAAUCCCUCGGCUCAACCGAGGAACUGCGUCCGAAACUAUGUUGCUUGAGGGCAGAAGGGGAGCAUGGAAUUCCCGGUGGAGCGGUGAAAUGCGUUGAUAUCGGGAGGAACACCGGCGGCGAAGGCGAUGCUCUGGUCUGUUUCUGACGCUGAGGUGCGAAAGCCAGGGGAGCAAACGGGAUUAGAUA